CCAGAAAAAAGUCAUUCUCCGGACUGACGUCUCUCUUUUUUUAUCGUCUAACGGACGUCUCUCUCUGUGCGAGGAAAAAUGUCUGCGAAUCAUCAACACCUGCUACGCCUAGUCCUCUCGUGCCGGAAAAUUUUUGCGCAGGUCACAAACCCCACAACCUCCACCAUCAUAGCCAUAGCCUCCUCCACGGAGCAAGAGUUCCUCGCCCAGUAUCGCACCAGACUCAACCGCUUCCCGCGAUCCCACCACAACUGGGAUGCCAAAAUGGCAUCACGUGUCGGUGAGAAGCUAGGGUUCCGCCUCAUGGAGAUUGGCGUUACCAGCAUCAAUAUCGACCUCGACGAAGAGCUUUCUCGCCCUAUUCAUUACAGGAAGAGGGUCUUGCCCCUGUUCGAUUCGGUGAAACGCGUUGGCGUGGCCGUCGAUGGGGUGGAGAAAUUAGGAGAGGCUAGCCCCCGGUAGAUUACGCUUGGAAGGUGAUCACUGAAUAGGGAAAGGUAUACCACAAAAUUUUGAUGGAGUGGUGCCUAUUUCGUUAUUUCAUUAGAUUUAUACCUGUAUUGAUUAUUUGAACAAUAAAUAGUACCUCUGAUUUGUCUGAAAGCAAACAAGCAUCCAAAUUUAUAACUGUGAAUUCUUCUUUUCUUCAAAAGUCUUUUGAUGGGUACAAUUUUUUUGCUGAUCAAGCAAUGGGUGUGUAUAGGUAGAAGAAGCUUGCAAUUUGAAUUUGGGGAAUGACUGAUGUCAAUGCUGGUUCUCUGUUUGUGCUGAGUUUUUCCAUAUUUUGUUGUUCUCUCGUUUCUGGUAGAUUUUAUGCAUACAAUGUCUUAUUGUUGUUCUUUGGUGCAUAUAUAUUUGUUUCUCAUUAUCAAUCAAUGAGUUCAUGGCUGCAAUAUGAAAUUGAAGUAUUAAGUUGAUUAUAGAUAUGAGGAAUUUCAGGCCCACUUUUCAACCUUCAGGGGGAGAUGGAAAGUGGGUGAUGAUGAUGUGCGGUCCUUUGUGGAGAAGGAGGUUCAGAGGGAUCGUCUCCAUGUCAAUUAAUGGAACUGUGUUCUCCAAAAUUAUAAGUGAAUAACAAUUGUACUGGUGGGAAAGCAAAUGAGGAAAUGGGUGAUGGAUGGCCAUUUCUUGUGGAAGGCUUUAGAUGAUGCAAGGUGCUUGAUAAUUUGCAGCAAAAAUUUGAGGACUGUAACCCAGUUAGCUCAUGGGUAGAGAUGAAAGAGAGAUCUCUGUGUACUGCCCAAUUGCCAAGAUAUUAUGGCUUUUGUCAUUUGCAUUUUGAGCCCAACUUUAUUGUGAAGGGCAUUUUUGGAGUGAUUGAGGAAGCUAAUAGCUGAUGUAAAGCAAAGAGGUGAAGACUGAAGAGGAAGAGAAAGAGGAGAAAGAGCUAUUCAGGUAGCAGUUUUGUCCUGUAGGUAAUAUCUAGAGGUCGGAAUGAGAAAUUAAGCAGACUCAAUUAAAUACACAGGAAAUGCUGCGCAAAACAGAUCAAGGAAAAGAUAUCGGCUGCUAUUGUACUUGCAGAUGCAUCCGAUCAAAGAAUGAGCACAGGUACAUACAUGGCAGAGAGGAUGCAUCUACAAUCACAGUAGCAAGGAUAUGGAAAUGUUCUACAGAUCCCCUCCUGCCUCUUUGCUGCAUCAGAAAUUAUUAGGUGCAACUGUCAUAUCACAUAUGUACAAUAGUCAAAAGAGAGAUAUUGACUGUUGAUUAUGAUUAGGAUCUAUACGAGACACACCAUAAUUAAUGGUUAUAAUUACAACAGUUUGUACUCUAAAAUUUCUCUUGCGACGUGGCCUUAGUCAAUGGGGAAAAAAAUGGAGAUAUUGGUGUAUAUAUAGGAUGUAGGAAGCAAAUUAUCAGCAAAAGUACAAUGCAUUUGCACCAGACAUUGUAUAGGAAGGUAAAAUAUUUGUAGCUACAAGUGGGUUAGGCUUAGUAUCACUGGUUCAUUAAUUUGUUGGCUCACUUGGAUAACAGUGAAUUUAAUUUUUAUCCUUUCCUUUCUCAUUUCUCAAAACAUAACCAAUAGAACAAAGGAGGAUAGAGAGAGAAUUUUUCAAUUUUAUUUAUUUUUAAAUUAAUUGUUAGUUAUAGAAAUGCUUUAUCAAAAA
rnacentral:misc_RNA from 1 species